CCGCACGGGUGAGUAACACGUAUCCAACCUGCCGUCUACUCUUGGACAGCCUUCUGAAAGGAAGAUUAAUACAAGAUGGCAUCAUGAGUCCACAUGUUCACAUGAUUAAAGGUAUUCCGGUAGACGAUGGGGAUGCGUUCCAUUAGAUAGUAGGCGGGGUAACGGCCCACCUAGUCUUCGAUGGGUAGGGGUUCUGAGAGGAAGGUCCCCCACAUUGGAACUGAGACACGGUCCAA
rnacentral:rRNA from 1 species